UACGUAGGGGGGCUAGCGUUGUCCGGAUUUACUGGGCGUAAAGGGCGCGUAGGCGGCGUGACAAGUCACUUGUGAAAUCUCCGGGCUUAACUCGGAACGGUCAAGUGAUACUGUCGUGCUAGAGUACAGAAGGGGCAACUGGAAUUCUCGGUGUAGCGGUGAAAUGCGUAGAUAUCGAGAGGAACACCUGCGGCGAAGGCGGGUUGCUGGGCUGAUACUGACGCUGAGGCGCGAAAGCUAGGGGAGCGAACGGG
rnacentral:rRNA from 1 species